UAACCGUCGCCGCGCAGUUCGCUCAGGGAAUACUUUCAACACGCUCUUAAACAUUUGUAUCGUGUAUUCACGUUCGUGGCCUGUUUUGUCAUACAUCGUCAACAUGGAUGUUUAUCUGCAAUGAAUACCAGUGACUGCGUGGACUAACUGCCAGCAAAAUAUCCCGAAGACAGCAAAAUGAUCCCAAAGCUUCUCUUAAUUAUCUCACUUUCAAGGCUGGUUGGACUUUGCUCUGCUGUAGGACCAACGUGGCUUAAGGCACACGAUCCCUCAUGCAAAACCCGGUUUUCCGCUUCUGAAACUAAGAACUGCAGGCCAGUUCGAUAUUUUUAUAACAACGAAACAGGUCUCUGCGGGCGCACCUGUAGCCAUAACGCUCCAUUCAGUACGUUGGGGGAGUGCGAUAUGUCAUGCAGAAGUGUGGUCGUCUGCUACAUCCAAAGGCGGCCUCAGCGCUGUGAUGGCAGCUUCAGUGUGAAAGUAUUCCGCUUCAACGUAAAUAAAGGAAAAUGCUAUGCUAAGAGGGGUUGCACAUACCGAGGAAACAACUUUCCAACUUUGGAAGAGUGCAUGAGCACUUGUGGCGCAGGUGCAGGAUCCUCCCAAGAAAGUGAUAAGGACGACGGAGGCGGUAGCCCUUUGGAGCAGCAGAUGCAUGUGCAGACGUCGAUUCAGCACUCGACAGUUCAAAUACCGCCAAAGCGUUACACAGCCUAUUGUGCCAGAGUUACCGAAUAUUGGAGGAGCGCCAAGCAUUCGAAAACGUAUUACAGACCAAGAACAAACGAGGGUAGUUGCUGCCACGAGUCCAGCGGAGAACCCACCACUGCCUUCAGACACUGCAGGCGAAUCAGGAAUUUCCCAACGUGAUGAACGGUGCACUGUCAAUGUCUCGAAGUCCUCGCCUUCGUGCAAGUCUUCUAUGUACCACUUCGAUCAAAAUACGCGGCUCUGCAGACGCACCUGCUCUGAUCAAGCACCGUUUCAAUCUAAAUCAGAAUGCGACGGCGUAUGCAGAAGCGUUCUAGUGUGUUUUGAUAAAAAGCGACCUCAGCCCUGCGAGACGUAUAGCAGCAAAAUUGUAUAUUACUUCGAUGCUCAAAAGGGAAAGUGCUUCGCCAGAACAAGUUGUACUCACACAGGGAACAACUUUCCGACUAUACAGGAGUGCAAACUCACCUGUGGUGCAUACAUAGGGCAGACUGGAGUCGACCAAGAAAUUGCACUGGCUCCAAGUAACGAGAGGCCAUCGCAGCAGCUGAGUGAAGGCGCGCCAAGCCAGGAGACACCACCCAGUAUUGGAAGUGAAGGAACAACUCCCGCGGAAGGCAACGUCGUGUCGCCAAAUGGCAGACCAGCCUUCACAAUUCCAGCGGUGGGCACGCCUUUGCCACCAAAUAGACCACAUG
rnacentral:lncRNA from 1 species